rnacentral:rRNA from 1 species
UACGUAGGGUGCGAGCGUUGUCCGGAAUUAUUGGGCGUAAAGGGCUCGUAGGCGGUCUGUUGCGUCAGGAGUGAAAACUCGGGGCUUAACCCCGAGCCUGCUUCUGAUACGGGCAGACUAGAGGUAUGCAGGGGAGAACGGAAUUCCUGGUGUAGCGGUGAAAUGCGUAGAUAUCGUAAGGAAGACCAGUGGCGAAGGCGGGUCUCUGGACAGUUCCUGACGCUGAGGCACGAAGGCCAGGGGAGCAAACGGG